rnacentral:rRNA from 1 species
UCCAGACUCCUACGGGAGGCAGCAGUGAGGAAUAUUGGUCAAUGGGCGAGAGCCUGAACCAGCCAAGUCGCGUGAAGGAUGACGGCCCUACGGGUUGUAAACUUCUUUUGUCAGGGAGCAAUUGGGUCCACGCGUGGGCUUAGCGAGAGUACCUGAAGAAAAAGCAUCGGCUAACUCCGUGCCAGCAGCCGCGGUAAUACGGAGGAUGCGAGCGUUAUCCGGAUUUACUGGGUGUAAAGGGAGCGUAGACGGCUGCGCAAGUCUGAAGUGAAAGCCCGUGGCUCAACCGCGGAACUGCUUUGGAAACUGUAUAGCUUGAGUACUGGAGAGGCAGGCGGAAUUCCUAGUGUAGCGGUGAAAUGCGUAGAUAUUAGGAGGAACACCAGUGGCGAAGGCGGCCUGCUGGACAGAAACUGACGUUGAGGCUCGAAAGCGUGGGGAGCAAACAGGAUUAGAUACCCCCGUA